CCUAACACAUGCAAGUCGAGCGGAAACGACACUAACAAUUCUUCGGAUGCUUUAAUGGGCGUCGAGCGGCGGACGGGUGAGUAAUGCCUAGGAAAUUGCCUUGAUGUGGGGGAUAACCAUUGGAAACGAUGGCUAAUACCGCAUAAUGCCUACGGGCCAAAGAGGGGGAUCUUCGGACCUCUCGCGUCAAGAUAUGCCUAGGUGGGAUUAGCUAGUUGGUGAGGUAAUGGCUCACCAAGGCGACGAUCCCUAGCUGGUCUGAGAGGAUGAUCAGCCACACUGGAACUGAGACACGGUCCAGACUCCUACGGGAGGCAGCAGUGGGGAAUAUUGCACAAUGGGCGAAAGCCUGAUGCAGCCAUGCCGCGUGUAUGAAGAAGGCCUUCGGGUUGUAAAGUACUUUCAGUUGUGAGGAAGGGUGUGUAGUUAAUAGCUGCGCAUCUUGACGUUAGCAACAGAAGAAGCACCGGCUAACUCCGUGCCAGCAGCCGCGGUAAUAC
rnacentral:rRNA from 1 species